CGCUGGCGGCGCGCCUAACACAUGCAAGUCGAGCGAGAACCAGGGCUUCGGCCCUGGGGACAGCGGCGAACGGGUGAGUAACACGUGGAUAACCUGCCCUCGGCACCGGAAUAGCCCGGGGAAACCCGGAUUAAUGCCGGAUAGCCCCACAUCCCUGCGGGGAACGUGGGAAAAGGUAGCUUCGGCCUCUGGCCGAGGAUGGGUCCGCGGUGGAUUAGCUUGUUGGCGGGGUAACGGCCCACCAAGGCGACGAUCCAUAGCUGGUCUGAGAGGACGAUCAGCCACACUGGGACUGAGACACGGCCCAGACUCCUACGGGAGGCAGCAGUGGGGAAUCUUGCGCAAUGGGCGAAAGCCUGACGCAGCGACGCCGCGUGCGGGAAGAAGGCCUUCGGGUUGUAAACCGCUUUCAGGAGGGACGAAGCCACUCGGGUGAAUAGCCCAGAGGGUGACGGUACCUCCAGAAGAAGCCCCGGCUAACUACGUGCCAGCAGCCGCGGUAAUACGUAGGGGGCAAGCGUUGUCCGGAUUCAUUGGGCGUAAAGAGCGUGUAGGCGGCCAGGUAGGUCGGUUGUGAAAACUGGAGGCUCAACCUUC
rnacentral:rRNA from 1 species